rnacentral:snoRNA from 1 species
GAGUUGUGAUGAAAUUAUUUGUGGUGUUGGGUAACAUCACAUAUCCUGAAAUACUGGAUGAAAAAAUAUAAAUCUGAGCUC